GACGAACGCUGGCGGCGUGCUUAACACAUGCAAGUCGAGCGGUAAGGCCCUUUCGGGGGUACACGAGCGGCGAGCGGGUGAGUAACACGUGGGUGACCUGCCCUCAGCUCUGGGAUAAGCCUGGGAAACCGGGUCUAAUACCGGAUAUGACUCCAUGACGCAUGUUGUGGGGUGGAAGGCCUUGUGCGGCUGAGGAUGGGCCCGCGGCCUAUCAGCUUGUUGGUGGGGUGANGGCCUACCAAGGCGACGACGGGUAGCCGGCCUGAGAGGGCGACCGGCCACACUGGGACUGAGACACGGCCACGACUCCUACGGGA
rnacentral:rRNA from 1 species